AACGAACGCUGGCGGCAGGCCUAACACAUGCAAGUCGAACGCUCGUAGCAAUACGAGAGUGGCAGACGGGUGAGUAACACGUGGGAACCUUCCCUAUGGUUCGGAAUAGCCCAGGGAAACUUGGGGUAAUACCGGAUAAGCCCUUCGGGGAAGGAUUUAUCGCCAUUGGAUGGGCCCGCGUCGGAUUAGCUAAUUGGUGAGGUAACGGCUCACCAAGGCGACGAUCCGUAGCUGGUCUGAGAGGAUGAUCAGCCACACUGGGACUGAGACACGGCCCAGACUCCUACGGGAGGCAGCAGUGGGGAAUAUUGGACAAUGGGCGCAAGCCUGAUCCAGCCAUGCCGCGUGAGUGACGAAGGCCUUAGGGUUGUAAAGCUCUUUUGGCGGGGAAGAUAAUGACGGUACCCGCAGAAUAAGCUCCGGCUAACUUCGUGCCAGCA
rnacentral:rRNA from 1 species